GACACUCAGGGCUCCUGCGUGAGAUACGACAAUUUCUACAUGAGCCGGUACAUGCUGAGCAUCGCUUUCACUGCCAAGUCGAUAUCUACACUCAUGUUCCUCAUCGCUUGGUGGUUCUACCGACCUCCAAGAGGAGACUUGAACAACGCAAAUGAUCCAGUGCACACCACAUCCAUGCAUCCGCUUUCAUCGAGGGAAAGAGAAACUGGGGAUGCUACUCCACAUCUUGCAUUCGAUAACCCUGCGGUUGAAAUAACUUAGAGGAGGUAUGGGAACUUUUUU
rnacentral:lncRNA from 1 species